CAAUAGCGUAUAUUAAAGUUGUUGCAGUUAAAAAGCUCGUAGUUGGAUUUCUGGUUGAAGCGACCGGUCGGGCGUUGAUUCGUCUGCACUGGAGUCGGUUUUGGCCAUCCUCUAGGAAAGUGCGUCUGGUAUUAAGUUAUCGGGCGUAUGAUCCUGGUCUUUUACUGUGAAAAAAUUAGAGUGUUUAAAGCAGGCCUUCGCCUUGAAUACAUUAGCAUGGAAUAACAAGAUAGGACUUUGGUCUAUUUUGUUGGUUUGCAGACCGAAGUAAUGAUUAAUAGGGAUAGUUGGGGGUAUUUAUAUUCCGAUGUCAGAGGUGAAAUUCUUAGAUUUUCGGAAGAUAAACUUAUGCGAAAGCAUUUACCAAGGAUGUUUUCAUUAA
rnacentral:rRNA from 1 species